rnacentral:rRNA from 1 species
AGUGAACGCUGGCGGUAGGCCUAACACAUGCAAGUCGAACGGCAGCACAGUAAGAGCUUGCUCUUACGGGUGGCGAGUGGCGGACGGGUGAGGAAUACAUCGGAAUCUACUUUUUCGUGGGGGAUAACGUAGGGAAACUUACGCUAAUACCGCAUACGACCUACGGGUGAAAGCAGGGGAUCUUCGGACCUUGCGCGAUUGAAUGAGCCGAUGUCGGAUUAGCUAGUUGGCGGGGUAAAGGCCCACCAAGGCGACGAUCCGUAGCUGGUCUGAGAGGAUGAUCAGCCACACUGGAACUGAGACACGGGCCAGACUCCUAGGGGAGGCAGCAGUGGGGAAUAUUGGACAAUGGGCGCAAGCCUGAUCCAGCCAUACCGCGUGGGUGAAGAAGGCCUUCGGGUUGUAAAGCCCUUUUGUUGGGAAAGAAAAGCAGCAGGGUAAUACCCCGCUGUUCUGACGGUACCCAAAGAAUAAGCACCGGCUAACUUCGUG